AAAAAAUAGAUUUUACUAUGACCCGAAUAACAAAGAUCUAUUACGGCUAUAGUUUAGCUAAAAGAAAUCAAUGUAACAUCUAUUGAUUUAUACAAGAUGUAAUAGGAGUGAAACGCUUACAAUUUUUUUGAUAGCUGGAUGAAGCUUAAAUGAAUUAAGUUCUAUUUUAUAUCCAAAGAGUUAUAAGAUUUUUUGGUAAUAGAAUGGUUAGGGCACACUAUUAACUGAAAUAAUUUUCUCUACUUUGAGCUUAAAUUAAAAUUAUUUUUAUGUAUCAUCUAUUAUAUAAGUUUUAAUUAAGUUUAUUUUACUUUCUUAACAGAUAAUGUUUAAAUUAGUAUUGUUUUAAAAGAGCCUUUAGGAACUCGGCAAAUUAUUAUCCCUCAACUGUUUAGCAAAAACAUAGUUUAAGGUAAGUUUUUCUUAGAUGUAACCUGCCCAGUGAAUCAUUAAACGGCCGCAGUACACUGACUGUGCUAAGGUAGCAUAAUAAAUUGGCUUUUAAUUGGAGUCUGGAAUGAACGGGAUCAUGGGGGAUAGCUGUCUUAAGGUUCUAAACUAUAACUUACUUAAGAGGUGAAAAUUCCUUUAGAUUAGAUGUAAGACGAGAAGACCCUUAGAAUUAUUACUAGUUCCUUAAAAGAUAUGUUUUUGUUGGGGCAACAAGUUCGUAUCAAACCGAAGCUAAGAGUUAUUAUACAAAUAUUAUGUUUUAAAAUAAGAUUUCAAUUACCUUAGGGAUAACAGCAUUAUUAUUUUUUUAGAUUAUGACCUCGAUGUUGGACUAAGGACUUUAAUAAAUAGCCUUUAUUAUAAAUAGUUCUGUUCGAACUUAAUUCCUUA
rnacentral:rRNA from 2 species